GACCGCGUAGCUCAGUUGGCAGAGCAUUGGGCUGGUAUUCGAAAGGUCGUAGGUUCGAUUCCCACCGUGGCCA
rnacentral:tRNA from 1 species